rnacentral:sRNA from 1 species
GCGGCCGCGGCCAGGACCGGAUCCGAAGCCAGGGUCUCCAAGGCCGCUUUAGCUACCAAGCUGCUGUCCUUGAGCGGCGUGUUCGCCGUGCACAAGCCCAAAGGGCCCACUUCAGCCGAGCUGCUGAAUCGGUUGAAGGAGAAGCUGCUGGCAGAAGCUGGAAUGCCUUCUCCAGAAUGGACCAAGAGGAAAAAGCAGACUUUGAAAAUUGGGCAUGGAGGGACUCUAGACAGCGCAGCCCGAGGAGUUCUGGUUGUUGGAAUUGGAAGCGGAACAAAAAUGUUGACCAGUAUGUUGUCAGGGUCCAAGAGAUAUACUGCCAUUGGAGAACUGGGGAAAGCUACUGAUACACUAGAUUCUACGGGGAAGGUAACAGAAGAAAAACCUUACGGUAUGAAGCUCAUCUAAUGUAGGCCUCUUUUCUAACAUUUAGGAAAAGUUUCUGUGCAGGUAGCGUUUUAAAACAAAUCUCUGAUAUUAUCAGCCAUUUUAAUUCUCAGUGUGUUUCUUUGGGCUAAGAAGAUUGGAAAUUGUUUGUCACAUUGUUGCUUACUUGAUAGGAGUUUUUGAAUAAAGAUUUAUUG